AAGUCUUAGAAAUAAAUUCCACCUUUAAACUUGCAAUUUAAAAUCAUUAUUGAAUAUAAGACC
rnacentral:tRNA from 1 species